UUCUCAAAUUCUUGUAUUCCACCAUAUGGAAUAUGUACUCUUACAUAUCAGUUCUUCAAGUCUGGAUCGUAAAGAUCACUGAAACUUGAAAUCUGUUAUGUAACUGAUGUUUUGAAGUAUCCUUAUCCCUAACACAUUCGUUGUUUCUUCUAUUUUCAGGCUGGUUUGAAACAUGUCAUGUUUGUUAAAUCUAUCUAACUACAAAAUAGCCUUGAUUCCGAGCAAGAAUCAAAGAAAAAUGACAAAAAAGCUUAAUAUUGAGGUAUCGCCACACAAACUAAACAAAAAGAUCGCAAACAGAAGUAACCUUUCAAGAUGAUGUACAGUUUUGCUCGGUUUUCACUUUUCAGUUCAUCUGAUACCUUUACUAAAUAGUUAGACAAUUGGCCAAAGUGAUCAGAGGCAAUUUGUGGAUGUACCUACAAUAUGAACGAUGAAAUGGUCCAAUAAAUUUGUCAACAAGUGAAUCUACUUAUCUAUUCGUACGAAGAGCUUUUAUUCCAUUUUGAACUGAGUAAUUCGUUGUGACUCACGAAUUACCUCAUCGUAGAGUUUCAGCAGUUAUCACUGCUGCUUUCGUACGAUUAUUUAUACAUCAUUAAUUCAUUAUCAGUUAGUUGUAUGCAAUAAUGCAGUGUGUAUUUUUGGACAUUUUUAAUUUUGAUUUGUGUUCGAAUAGCUAGUGCUAGAUUUCUGAUGUGUACAUGAUUUAUCUCAUCAUUGAUUGAGUCAACAAGUCGUAAUGCGAGUAACUACUAACUAAUUCAGCGUUGAACGCGCAUUAUUUCAAUUCUAAUACAUACAUCGAGUUGUUCAUUUUCAGAUUCAUUCUGUUUUAUGUACAGUACCUAUUACCUAACCAUAAUACAUGAUCUUGUGCGUUUCUA